rnacentral:rRNA from 1 species
GAUGAACGCUAGCGGCAGGCCUAAUACAUGCAAGUCGAACGGUGUCUUCGGACAUAGUGGCGCACGGGUGCGUAACACGUAUGCAACCUACCUUACAUUGGGGGAUAGCCUUUCGAAAGGGAGAUUAAUACCGCAUAAGACAGUAGCUGGGCAUCCAGCAGCUGUUAAAGAUUUAUCGAUGUAAGCUGGGCAUGCGUCCAAUUAGCUAGUUGGUGAGGUAACGGCUCACCAAGGCAAUGAUUGGUAGGGGAACUGAGAGGUCAAACCCCCACACUGGCGCUGAGCUAAGGGCCAGACUCCUACGGGAGGCAGCAGUAGGGAAUAUUGGGCAAUGGAGGCGAGUCUGACCCAGCCAUGCCGCGUGCAGGAUGAAGGCGUUAUGCGUUGUAAACUGCUUUUAUACAGGAAGAAACGACUCUUGCGAGAGGCAUUGACGGUACUGUAUGAAUAAGCACCGGCUAACUCCGUGCCAGCCGCCGCCGUAAGAC